UGCACGAAUGGCGUAACGACUUCUCAACUGUCUCAACCAUAGACUCGGCGAAAUUGCACUACGAGUAAAGAUGCUCGUUACGCGCGGCAGGACGAAAAGACCCCGGGACCUUCACUAUAGCUUGGUAUUGGCGUUUGGUUCGGUUUGUGUAGGAUAGGUGGGAGACUGUGAAGCAGGCACGCCAGUGUUUGUGGAGUCAUCGUUGAAAUACCACUCUGAUCGUAUUGAACCUCUAACCUCGGACCGUAUAUCCGGUCCAGGGACAGUGCCUGGUGGGUAGUUUAACUGGGGCGGUUGCCUCCCAAAAUGUAACGGAGGCGCCCAAAGGUUCCCUCAACCUGGACGGCAAUCAGGUGUUGAGUGCAAGUGCACAAGGGAGCUUGACUGCGAGACCUACAAGUCAAGCAGGGACGAAAGUCGGGACUAGUGAUCCGGCACCUCUGAGUGGAAGGGGUGUCGCUCAACGGAUAAAAGGUACCCCGGGGAUAACAGGCUGAUCUUCCCCAAGAGUCCAUAUCGACGGGAUGGUUUGGCACCUCGAUGUCGGCUCGUCGCAUCCUGGGGCUGGAGCAGGUCCCAAGGGUUGGGCUGUUCGCCCAUUAAAGCGGCACGCGAGCUGGGUUUAGAACGUCGUGAGACAGUUCGGUCUCUAUCCGCCGCGCGCGUCAGAAACUUGAGGAAACCUGUCCCUAGUACGAGAGGACCGGGACGGACGAACCUCUGGUGUACCAGUUGUUCCACCAGGAGCACGGCUGAAGC
rnacentral:rRNA from 1 species